rnacentral:rRNA from 1 species
GAGGGGAUAACAGCUGGAACGGCUGCUAAUACCCNAUAUGCCGCGAGGUGAAAUGAAUUUCGCCUGAGGAUGAGCUCGCGUCUGAUUAGCUAGUUGGUGUAGGUAAUGGCUCACCAAGGCAUCGAUCAGUAGCUGGUCUGAGAGGAUGAUCAGCCACACUGGGACUGAGACACNNNCCAGACUCCUACGGGAGGCAGCAGUGGGGAAUUUUCCGCAAUGGGCGAAAGCNUGACGGAGCAACGCNGCGUGAGGGAUGAAGGCCUCUGGGCUGUAAACCUCUUUUAUCAAGGAAGAAGAUCUGACGGUACUUGAUGAAUAA